AACGCACAUUGCGCCCGCCAGUAUUCUGGCGGGCAUGCCUGUUCGAGCGUCAUUUCAACCCUCAAGCCCCCGGGCUUGGUGUUGGGGAUCGGCACAAGGCGCUGGCACCUCCGGGAGCCGCGCCCGCCGUCCCCCAAAUUCAGUGGCGGUUCACGCCGUGUGUACCUCAGCGUAGUAGCAACACCUCGCUCCGGGACCCUCCUGUGAACCACGCCGUAAAACCCCCGACUUUUUUCUGGUUGACCUCGAAUCAGGUAGGACUACCCGCUGAACUUAA
rnacentral:misc_RNA from 1 species